rnacentral:rRNA from 1 species
GAUGAACGCUAGCGGCAGGCUUAAUACAUGCAAGUCGAGGGGCAGCGGGUGUAGCAAUACAUGCCGGCGACCGGCGCACGGGUGCGUAACGCGUAUGUAACCUACCUUUAACUGGAGGAUAGCCCCGAGAAAUCGGGAUUAAUACUCCAUAAAAUUAUGAGAAGGCAUCUUUUUAUAAUUAAAGCUCCGGCGGUUUUAGAUGGGCAUGCGUGACAUUAGCUAGUUGGUGAGGUAACGGCUCACCAAGGCUCCGAUGUCUGGGGGUUCUGAGAGGAUUAACCCCCACACUGGUACUGAGACACGGACCAGACUCCUACGGGAGGCAGCAGUAAGGAAUAUUGGGCAAUGGACGCAAGUCUGACCCAGCCAUGCCGCGUGAAGGAUGACGGCCCUAUGGGUUGUAAACUUCUUUUGUACGGGAAAAAACCUUCGAACGUGUUCGAAGCUGAUGGUACCGUAAGAAUAAGCAUCGGCUAACUCCGUGCCAGCAGCCGCGGUAAU